GCCUGAAUGGCUCAGUUGGUUAGGCGUCUGACUUCAGCUCAGGUCAUGAUCUCACAGUGUGUGAGUUCAGGCCCCACAUCAGGCU
rnacentral:tRNA from 1 species